AUAGAAAAACGUAGGUAAGGGAAGUAAGCAAAUUAGAUCCGUAACUUCGGGAAAAGGAUUGGCUCUGAUAACACAAAAUGAGAAGAAAAAAAUGAAAAGAAAAAAAUGAAAAGAAUUGUGGUUGAAAAUAAAAAUGUUAAGAUGUUUAUUUAUAUAUUUAUAUUAGUUUUUCUUAUAUUUUAAGAUUAAUUAAUUAAUUAUAUAUUUAAUAUGUUAAAAUGUUUUAUAUUUCUUCUUCUACUCUAUUCUAUUCCAUUCUAUUCUAUUCUAUUUUUUUUUUUCUCUUUCUCUUCGAUAUUACAUAUAUUUUGUUAUUAUAAUAAAAAUUAUGUAAUAUUGUUUAGCUGUGUUUAUUCAGAACUGAAACGGACAAGGGGAAUCCGACUGUUUAAUAAAAACAUAGCAUUGUGAAAAGCUAUAACUGGUAUUAACACAAUGUGAUUUCUGCCCAGUGCUUUGAAUGUCAAGUUGAUGAAAAUUUCAAUUAAGCGCAGGUAAACGGCGGGAGUAACUAUUAUGACUCUCUUAAGGUAGCCAAAAAUGUAUGGUCGAUAAAAAGGACCAUCAGGAAUGGAUUAACGAGAUUCCUACUGUCCCUACUUGCGAUCUAGCGAAACCACAACCAAGGGAAAGGGCUUGGUAAAAUCAGCAGGGAAAGAAGACCCUGUUGUGCUUUACUCUAGUCUGACUUUGUAAAAAGAUUUAAGAGGUAUAGUAUAAGUGGUAGUAGAAAUUGAAAUAAUGUUUUUACGUCAGUGAAAUACCACUACUUUUAAAAAGUUUUUACUAAUCCAUUUAUCUAGUGAAUGACUAUUAUAUAAAUAUAUAUAUAUAUAUAUUUUCUAUAUUUUAUGUGUAUCACUUUUUAUGGAGACAGAGUCAGGUGGGGAGUUUGACUAAGGUGGUACAUCUGUUAAAAAAUAACGCAGAUGUCCAAAGAUAAGCUCAAGGAGAACAGAAAUCUCUUGUAGACUAAAAGGGGAAAAGCUUGUUUGAUUUCUAUUUUCAGAAAGAAUAGAAAACGUGAAAACGUGGCCUAUCGAUCCUUUAUAUUUGCAAAAUGACGUAAAAUUAUUUACUACUGUGCAUAUAAAGGUGUCUGAAAAGUUACCACAGGGAUAACUUGUUUGUGGCUGCUUAGCGAUAUUAGCAACGUGGCUUUUUGUAUUUUCGAUUACGGCUCUUCCUAUCAUUGGGACGCAGAAGUCUCAAAGUGUCGGAUUGUUCACCCGCUAAUAGGGAACGUGAGCUGGGUUUAGACCGUCGUGAGACAGGUUAGUUUUACCCUACUGAUGAAUAUUAUUAUAUUAUUAUAUAUAUAUAUAGUAUUGUGACAGUAAUCCAACUUGGUACGAGAGGAUUAGUUGGUUCAGACAAUUGGUACAGCAAUUGGGUUGAUAAACCAGUGUUGCGAAGCUACGUCUGUUGGAUAAUGACUGAACGAUUCUAAAGUCAGAACCCAUACUGAUUAAACAAUAAUAUAAUUGUAUAUUUUUGUCAUAAGGUUGUGUUUUAUUUUUUUUUAUUGCUAAUGUAAAAGAGAAAUUUAAUAUAUGCGUUAAUCUAUAUAUAUUAUGUAUAGAUUUUCAUAAACAUAUAAAUAAUCCCAUAAAGACGUAUCUUUUUUUUUUCUAAACAAAGAAAAAUAUGUUCUUUUUAUUGUAAUUUAACAACAAAAAUAAUCUAAAGUAUAUUGUAGACGACAUUUUUAGCCUCAGAGUGCUGUAAACAUGUGAGCAAACUUGUUUUGCGAACUGUUCAGGCUUAUCUCUUGUGGUUUUUGCUU
rfam:Plasmodium falciparum Palo Alto/Tganda unplaced genomic scaffold supercont1.151, whole genome shotgun sequence.